rnacentral:rRNA from 1 species
AACGAACGCUGGCGGCAUGCCUAACACAUGCAAGUCGAACGAGACCUUUGGGUCUAGUGGCGCACGGGUGCGUAACGCGUGGGAAUCUGCCCUUGGGUUCGGAAUAACAGUUAGAAAUGACUGCUAAUACCGGAUGAUGACUUCGGUCCAAAGAUUUAUCGCCCAAGGAUGAGCCCGCGUAGGAUUAGCUAGUUGGUAGGGUAAAGGCCUACCAAGGCGACGAUCCUUAGCUGGUCUGAGAGGAUGAUCAGCCACACUGGGACUGAGACACGGCCCAGACUCCUACGGGGGCAGCAGUGGGGAAUAUUGGACAAUGGGCGAAAGCCUGAUCCAGCAAUGCCGCGUGAGUGAUGAAGGCCCUAGGGUUGUAAAGCUCUUUUACCCGGGAUGAUAAUGACAGUACCGGGAGAAUAAGCCCCGGCUAACUCCGUGCCAGCAGCCGCCGCAGUAA